rnacentral:lncRNA from 1 species
AUUUACAACAACAUCAUUCAUUCAUUCAACAUUCCUUCUACACAUGUUUUCAACAAGUUGCUUUAAAGGGCAUAUACAUCAAGCAAAAACUUUAGAUAGAAAAAUUAACAACAGAGCACACACCAAACAUAUCAUUCUCCUAUGCCUAAACUCUUCUGCAUCCAACUACGUAUUUACCUCUCAACAAACCUCCUUCCAAUUACCAAUCUUCUCCUCAUUCUCUGCAAAAACAUAGUGCGAACUUGUCAUAUGCUUCCUUUAAUGCUCCGUUCUCCUACUUAUCACAGUAAACAACCAUUUCCUCAUCGUACCGGUUCAUAAGGUCCUCCUUGAUCUGCAAUGAGAAAUAGGGGGAUGCAGAACACCACUAAACUUAACCAAAACAACAAAUUGAUCAAAAUAUAAACCAAUUUGCAAAAAGGAGACUAACAUCUCGCCAACAUUGAAGCCACCUCUACCCAUGAUUUCUUGUGGUAUAAGAUGUCCAUGCUACCAUAGAUUUACAGCAAGCACUCCUCAACUUCUAUACGGAAGCUAAGGGCGGGGAGUGAUGAAGGAUGUGUAGGAUUGAAACAGAGUUAAACAGACCUACCAGAGGAGGGUGAAUGGUGGAGAAAACCAAAAGCCAAAAAUCUUUCGUGGAAUAAAAGAUUACCUCUGUCGAAAAAUAUCUUGAUCGCCUCGCUCCUAUGCCACCGCUACCUUGAUCGCGCCGCUCAUGUGCCGCCGAUCAGAUCGUCGAAACCCAGAAAGUCACCAGCGCCGAUCAGAUUGUCAGAAUCUAGAAAAUCACUAGUAGAUGAAAGUUAAAGACGUAGAUCGAAUGAACUUGACUUUAUUGCAUCAACUAGAAUUUACAAAGCGCACCAACAACGCUCCUCUCAAAAUUGUUGAUCUAGGAUCAACAACUAUUCAACUCAAAUUUUCUAAUUCUAAAUCUCACAAAAAGCAUACCAAGGGCAGACCACUC